UGGUUAUUUUGUACAUCAUAUUUUAUAUAUCAAGUUAUCUUUCUGCUGGCUCAGAGCAGGAACAGAUCCUCUAGGAAAGAUGAGUAGCACCAAUUCAUAGAAAAAAAAAAACCAAACUGGCUCAGUCAUUGUGUGAUUGAGUUGUGUAGUCACUGGCCCUUCUGCAAAUACUGGGCAUUAUUUUGGGGAACCAUUAGUCUCACUUCCUGAUAACUCUGUGAAAAAGGGAAUUAGUGCUUGUCAUGUGGCUCUUGCAUCACUGGUGAACAUUUAGCAAUUAAUUAAAAAUCUGGCUACCAUUUCCACUUAGCUAAUUGAUUAGACAUCCAUAUUAUAUAGGAGGAAAAUGAGAAAAGAUGUAUUUAUGACUUUGAAAAUUCCAUCCUUUAUAGUUAACACAUUAGGAGAGAAUACAUGUCAAUAUGAAUGCAUGGACUAUUUUGCCAAAUCAUAAAUGGUAAUUUCAACACCAGGAACAGGAUUGAAGCCAAGGUAUCAACAGAUAAGGGUUUUUUCCUGUCAUAAUCAUGGGGUGAAUUACAGUUACCACCAAUCCAUAACAUCUAGUGCCGUUGUGUCUAACUUAUGACUUGGAUUUUCUUUUCCACGUUUUCACAUUUUUUGUAAAUUAAAAUGUUAAACUUGUAGAUACACAUUUAUCUUGGUGUGAAAGCAGUGAGCAAACACUUUCACUUGUCAUACUCAUCAUCGUGAGAUUUUUUACAAAUUUGGUGGUGCCUGACAAAAGGUAUUUUUAUCCUUGCGUGGAAAAUAUUUCUUGAGAAUUGUUUCAGAAUGGCAUUCGCUUAAUUGUGAACUAGGUAAGGGAAUGUAGAGCGAACAAAGGCAAUGAUGGGCGCUAUAGAGAGGGAUAUAGAGGGGGGUUGACUCACCCUUCCUAGCUACAGCUUGGAGAAGCGGAGCUGGGGGGGGAGCCAAAGAAUGAGAGCCGAAGAAUGUAGCCUUAUCUCUCUCAUGCUGCUCCAGGCCUCAUGUGCUCAUAUAUUGGUUCAGGGUGGUUCAGGCUAUGACCUAGGAAUUCCACUACAGGGGGAAAUAAAACCUGCAAGUCACGAUAAGUCAGCAAUUGGGCUUAACAGCUAGGAGUGGAAAAUAUGAUAAUAAGUUCUUGGAAUCAAUUGUAAUAUCCACUCCUAUUCUAAUAGUAAUAUCACAAUAAUCUAUGCCUAACUUUUUGGAAUCAAUUGUAAUAGCCCCUCCUAUUCUAAUUGUAAUAUCAGAAUAAUCUAUGAUUAAUUUCUUGGAAGCAACUGUAAUAUCCCCUCCUAUUCUUGCAUAUGUAUAACUUGUCUCUAUAAACAUCCUUAACUGUCACUUUGUGGUGUGCAGGCGAGAAGGGGCUACCCCACUUGCACCCAGCGUGUGUGCAUAGUGCUGAAUAAAUGUACCUGAUAUAUAACUACUUUGUGGUUAUAGAGUUUGAUUCCGCAAGUCAAUUUGAUGAGCCAGCCAGAAGAGUUGGCUAAUCUGCAGGGCUGACUGGGACGGGGACCCUUUAGGUGUGCCCCGAGGAUUCUCAGAAAGGCUCCCUCACCCGGACCCGGCACCGCGGAGCAGAGAAAGAAACCUGGACACAGACCAGGUAUACUGCAGGUGCAGAGGACCCAUAAGUCGUAAGGAGACGUCCUAAACAGGAAUAGAGGAGCGAGGGUGCUCCCCCUGAGGGUGGAUCCACUGCUAAUAGUUGAGUGAUCGUGAUCGGUGUGGGAGCACACCCGUCGGGAAGGGGGUCCCACUUAGGGAGGUAUCUCGAGAAUUCCGAGAACUCUCAUGUAUAACUCACGAGGCAUCCCGAGAGUGAGGCUAUAAUGUGCUCGGGAAUGUAAGCUUUGUAAUACUCUGGAAAAAACGUGACCAUAAACAUGUGCCAGAUCUGUAGUUUAAAGUGACCAGACAGUGGGGGGGCAUUUGCAGUUAGCUGCCAGGAGGGGGCCUGGUAGGACCUAUGUAACGGGUUAAGUGUUCAAACUGGUUUUAGUAACAACUGUGUUUGUCAUUGUUAUCUUUGUAAUUGUUUAGUUUCUGUUAUAAAAUUAUUUGUGGAAUUCCAUUUACAAUAUAAUUCCAGGGAAUUCGGUGAUUCGGUGUUCCCGUGCCCUGAGGAAAUAGGCAGACUCCAUUUCCCAGCAAAGGAGACUUUAUAAGAAGCUGCCAUAUACUGUGAAUGCUAAAUAUUUGAUCAAAGGUGUGAGUGGUGUGAAUGUGGGUAUCGAGUAUAACUGGAUGUUUAUUUCAUCCUGAAAAUGGUUGCAAUCCUGUAAUUAUUACCAGAGGGUUGACUGUAAUACUGUCCAGGAAUUACAGUGGGAUAGAGGAAACUGGCAUUUCGGUUGGGGUUGUGGACUGGCCUUUAAAGAGGAAUAUGUACUUGGUCAAACUAAUAUACUAGCUAUAGGGGGUGGACUUUUGGGAACAAAGAAUCAAUAAAGUUCAGUACAGGGGAGCAUGGGGAAAGGAAGUUCCCAGGCAAACCCUACUCAAGAUAUUGCUGGAGAGCCUAGGGGCCCUGUGAGCAAGAAGUCUUUAAUUAAAUAUUGUAAUUAAUGGCUGGGAGGUGGUGAAAAAUGGCUUUAAAUGGCACUCUGAAUUAUAAUACCAUUUUGCAGUUAAGGUUGUUUUUGCAAAGGCAGGAGACACAGGACACACAGGAAACAAGAAUCACCUUCACCUGCAGAGACCGAGGAAACUUGAUAUCCCAGUGUUAGCAUGGGAAGCCUCUGGAGGGGAGGGGUUGAGAUAUAGUAGCUAUUGCUGUUGCUGCACUAAGGCAGAGCUCUAGGACCCAAACACGUCCUCAAGAAGAGCUUGGGGGGGGGGUUAGAAGGGCCCAGGAGCAUUCCGCCCCUAUUGAACAGAAAAGCAGUUAGUGCAAAAAGCAGCACUGGAUUUGGAAACAGAUGCAAUAACAGUUAAGAUUGGAGAAAAUUAAAUUAGGGAAGGAAUUGCAGCAAAGUGUGGAAUUUUUAGUAGACACUGGAGCAACUUGUUCAGUGUUAAAUACUUCUCUAACUCAGUAAGUGAUGAAUUUGUAACCGUAAAGGAAGCCAUUGUCCAAGGUGAGAAGGCUUACUUUCUUAAGCCUUUAUAAUUUAGUAUAGAUAAACAGGUAGGGAUACACAAAUUUUGCACAUGCCAAAUUCACCAAAGUCUUUACUAGGGCAAGAUCUACUAGAACAACUGGAAGCUGAAUUAAAGUUUAGGAAAAGAAAAUUGGAAUUUAAGGUAAAAGAAGAUCAAUUUAAAAAGAUACUUAGUUUAGCACUGAUCACUACCCCUGCUGGGACCAGAAUCCCAGAUGAAGCAAGUAAUCAAGUUUAUCCUGGGGUGUGGGCAGUAAAAAACCCACAUAGGCCUAAGAAUACAGCACCAAUAGCAAUGAGAAUAAAGCAGGGAGCCCAGCUGUUUUGGAUUAACAGUACCCCCACAAAUGCAAAGACAAUAAAGGAAUCCAACCAAUAAGUGAUCAUUUUCAGAAAUUUGGGUUGUUAGUGGAAUGUGAGUCAAAACUCACCCAUCCUCCCAGUUAGAAAACCAGACAGGAGCUACUAGAUAGUACAAGAUUUAAGGACUAUCAAUAGAAUAGUGGAGGAUUUAUAACCAAUGGUAGCAAACCCAUAUAUGCUGCUCACAAAAUUAUCAGGGGAAUAGGCAUGGUUUACCAUUCUGGUCCUAAAAGAUGCCUUCUUUGGUCUACCAUUGAGGCCCGAAAGUCAGCUAAUGUCUGCCUUGUGUGUGUGAGAAUCCUGAUUCCCCAAGGGUUCAAAAUUAGCCCCACUCUUUUUGGGAACCAAGUUGCCAAAGACCUGGAGCAAUGGAUACAGCCCCAGGACAAGGAACCCUGUUACAGUACGUGAAUGACCUUCUGAUAGCUACUGAAACAAAGGAGGUGUGCAACAAGGACAAUUAGUCUACUAAACUUUCUCAGACUUAAUGGUUAUCGUUUCUCCACAGAAAGCCUAGGGGGCAUGACCACAAGUAACCUAUCUGCAUUAUGAAAUCGCUUCUGGAUUCUGAACCCUAGGAACAACAAGGAAGGAAGCAAUUUGCCGGACUCUGGAACCUCAAACAACUAAGGAGCUCCAGACUUUCCUAGGGAUGAUGAGGUGGUGCCGCCUAUAGAUAUACAACUAUGGAAUACUGGUAAAACCCCUCUAUGCCCUUUUGAAAUCCUGCCCAAAGAUCCUCAUACAGGUUGAGGAAGGCAAAUAAGAACAAGGUUUAACCGUGGCAAUUAGACAUCGACUCUGUUGUUAGUGCAGAACACUUUUAUUGCUUGUGAUGAACUUGAACAAUAUGCACUUCUUCAAGUGCCUUAUUAAACAUGACUCUCCUGCUGCAUGCAGCAGUGCUGGAUCUUCCACCUUGCUCUGAAGGAGAUGGUGCUGGAGCUUGGCUCGUCCCCUUUGUGCCGUCCUAUGGCACCCACAUCAGCACAGGCUCAGCUUGGGUUCUGGUAAGGUUGGUACCAGUCUUUGCUGUUGUGGGUGUUAGACUGAGGAACUGGGUCUUUCAGCCUCAUUUUAAACCUGUUGUACCUCAGUGGUGUCUCCUCGUAAUAGGUGAUGAGAUUGAACAGGCUGUCAAACACCAAGUUGUCAGUCAGGAACAACCUGGGGAUGCCUGCGUCCUGCCUCCAGUGGAUGCAGCAAUGCUGCACCCUUCCAUUACACCAGAAGGACAGAACGUAGUCUCCAACAAAUGUCUCACUCUCCCUGAUGAGGAAGGAGCCAACAGGGACUCCCAUCUCGGUGCAGUACUCUGUCAGCAGCCACUCAGCAAUGUGCCGCCCACCACUCCCAGCUUGCCAUGGAACCGUUCCUGUGUGAAAUGCAGCUCAGUGUUGUUGCUCACCUCCUUCUGCGCAGGUUGUCUCCCAUGUUUGUUUCUGGCUGGGACGUAAAGUGAGAUCCAUACGUAAUUGAUGGGGUUUUUCAUCAUUUGGCAAUCUGCCUUCUGCUCCUUUGUCACACAUGGACCCAUGGUUCCUUGCCACUCACUUCUAUCAGAAACCUCAGGUUUGUUGGGGCUUGCCCCUGGUCAGUUUGACCUUUAUAGCAUCUGCUCACACCCAUGCCAGGUGUACAAGCUAGAUGUCUGGUGAUUAUGUCAAGAGGUACUGUCUGACAUAAAUAGUUACAAUCUUUCGAUUUUCUUCCUCCAUGUCUGCCAAACUUAUUUACACCUCUCAAGGUCUUUCGCUAACCAGAGUAAGAAUGUCUUUAUUUCCUCCCAAUGAAAUACAGAUUAAAGGAAGCGAAAUAUAGGACCUGGAUAAAUUAAUUGAGGGGGCUUGGAGAGUAUAAAGAAACAGGGAUUGUAAUGAAAGAAAGAAACUGGGAAGAACAGUAGCAGUUGCACUAGAAGCAGUACAACUACCUGAGAAGGUGGCUAUGAUGUAUUGUAAAGCCCACCGGAAGGGAGAAACAACCAAAGAAAUGGGCAAUGCAUUAGAUGAGCGAGAAACAAAGAGUGGCAGAAGCGAAGGACAAAGAGGUGCAGGCUUUGGUUCCAGACAGAAAAAUUCAAAUUGAAGGUAAACCAAGAUAUUCAAGAGAGGACCAAAAAUUGAUAAAGGACUUAGGAGGGCAGGUUGGAAAAGGAGGGUGGGUUAGGGUUGAGAACAAAAUAAUAGUUCCCAUCUCCCUGUUAUGGGCCAUAAUCAUGGCUGAGCAAAGGAAAACUCACUGGAGGCCCUGUAUAAAUACCUGAGCCAACAAAUUGUGGCUUAGAAUUUAUACAUUUAUACACCACCAUUAAACAGGUAACACAGCAUGUGAGAUUUGUUUAAUCCUAGAAUGGGCCCCAGGGUCCCAUUGGGACAAAUAGGGAAGGGAAAUUAUCCUGAACAACAAUGGCAAAUUGAUUUAUCUGAACUCCCAAGAAAAGGGGGUAUAGGCAUAUACUGGUAUUAAAAGACACCUUUUCAGGUUAGCCAGAGGCUUUCUCUUGCAGGACAAAGAAAGUGCAGGAAGUAACUAAAAUAUCGUUACAAGAGAUAAUACCAAGAUUUGGGGUUCCAGAACAUCAUAUAUAUAGUGAAGAUAAAAGAACAAGCAUCAUAGAUCCGCUACACACAAGUUGAGAAGACAUCUCAAUCCCAGUGGACUAUUGAGAAGGCCAGACCGCUGAAACUAAGGAUUAAGAGACAAUAUGUUUAGAAUGUGUUUUAUAAGUUGCAUGUAUUAUAUACGAUUUGCUUUAGCCUGGUAUGAAAAUACAUACUUAAACAUCACUGAAGGAGUUGUGGCUAGCCUAAACUUCACUGACUGUUGGAUAUCUACAGCCUUGCCAAGAGAUGGAGGAAUGGAACUCCCUCAGUAUGGGAUUCCCUCCAUCAUUUGGACAUAUGGGGUGGAGCAGGAGUUAGGCGUAGAUGUGCAAAUAAGAUUGUGACAAUAGGAAAAAAGGGAUCUAAAUUCAGUAUACAACUACGAUACUUAAUUCGGAUUUACAGAACUGUGGAACAAAUUAACCAGUUGGUUACCGAACUUUGCCUGGCUAAAGCAACUCUUCAUGACUUGCAUAGUCCUACUCUUUCUGGAAUAUUCAUAUGUUACGUUGUUUCUUGUGUAUGUCUAAACAACCAGGUGAAAAUUAUGAGACGAGGAAACAGCAAAAAAUUCGCUAAAAGAUGGAAAGCAGGGUGUAUUUUCAUAAAUCCUUAGGAGAGAAUGGUAUCAUCUAACAACGCGAAGAUUGCUAGAUUAGAGAAAAGGGGGGAAUUGAUGUGGAACACAUUUAUUUAGAAUUGUUUCAGAACAGCAUUCACUUAAUUAUGAACUAGAUAAGGGGGUGUAGAGCGAACAAAGGGAAUGACAGGCGCUACAGUGAGGGAUGCUGAGGAGGGUUGAGUCACCCCUCCUAGCAACGGCCCAGAAAAGGGGAGGAGGGGAGAGGCGGGGAGCCAAAGAAUGCAACCUUAUCUCUCUCAUGCCACUCCAGGUACUCACGUGUUCCCAUAUUGGUCAUCCUAAUUUUGGAUUUUGAAAAAUGAAUAGCUUAGUACAAUUUAUAAAAUAUUUUUUAUCACUGCAUGUUUAAAGUUUUAAAAUUCUUUAAUUAUGGGAAAGCUUGAAUAGUGUACUAACAAGUUGUGCGGCAUUCAUUCUUUUCUAUAAUGAAUGUAAUGUACUUUUGAGCAAAUAAAUGGAAGUGCAAGCCAAGGGUCAGUAGUUUAACGUAAUGAAAAAUAAAAGCCAUCUGGAUCUGCAUGGUACAUCAUUAAUAAUCAGGUGACAAUUCCUGUAAUACUUGUAAGGUCAAGAUGACUUUCUUAAGGAACAAGAUGAACAGAAGCAUUUAAUUUUAGACCUAGAGGAGGAAAAAAGAGGACUUAAAGGCGAGAAUGCUCAGCUAACAGGUGCAGGUGUCAAGAAGUCAUUCAUCUGAAACCUGUCACCAUCAACAGAGAAAGGUGCAUUGUGCCUUCAAGCUUUUGUGACCCCACCAUUUGUUCCCUCAGGCUUUUUAGAAAGCAAAGAUCAGGUAAGGAAUUCGCAAUUCAUCUAGUAUUUGUAAGCUUACUGUUAAAUCUGUUAUAGUGUAAUAAGUUUUCACUGCUUGUUAUUUGCAUGAGCGUAAUUAUGCACUGGAUUGAAUUAGAAUAAUGUUGCAUGCACUGUUUAUUGUACAGCAAUAUCUGGGCUACAACGCUGCAUGUUCACUGAUACCUAAUCAAAUGCAAUUGGCUAGGUUUGCAUGCAGCUUCAGAAAACUAUGCCUGUCCUUGCAGUGCAAAACACAUUGCAUACUAAAUAAAUUGCAAGCAGUAUCAAUAACAAGUAGAACAGGGGAGCGAAGUAUUUCAUACCAGCAUUGAACAUAUUCUUAUCUUCUCUGCAGCUAUGUUGUGCUGAAUGGUUUGGAAGAGAUUCCUCCACAUAUCUUGCGCAUUAACCCAUCUUCAUUAAGAGUGAAAAUCAAAGUCAUUGAUGACAGUAUCCCAAUAUUUUGAAGUGAAAUUCGAUAUCAACAAGCAUCAGUGAAAAAUGACACUGGAAAGGAAGAUGCUUCCACUGUGUUUUCAGAGGAUGGAUAGUGACAUAGGGAAGCAAUCAGUCGUGUUUGUGAAGCUGUGCCUGGUGCCAAAGGGGCCUCCAAGAAACGAAAGACACCGAACAAAGUUCUGUCCAGCAUCUUGGGAAAGAGCAAUCUUCAGUUUGCAGGAGUGAGCAUAAUGCUGAAUAUUUCUACUGCAAGCUUAAACCUUAUGACUCCCGAUAUGAAACAGGUGAGUAUAAGUAGCAUAUUAAUUUGUGAGUCUUUUGGCAAACAGCCUAUUGUGCAGUUGUUCGUAGUCUACCAAAGUACUGGAUCAAGGUGUUAUUAGUCAACAUUGUUAAUAAAGUGAAUGAAAAUAGAAUAUAAAUCAUAUUAGGAGACAUAUUAUGCUGGAGCAUUCAACACAGAUUUGAUUUUCUCCUUACCAUGCUUGA